rnacentral:rRNA from 1 species
AGUGGCGGACGGGUGAGUAACGCGUGAGAAUCUGCCUUGGGGUCGGGGACAACCACUGGAAACGGUGGCUAAUACCGGAUAAGCCGAUUGGUGAAAGAUUUAUUGCCCGAAGAGGAGCUCGCGUCUGAUUAGCUAGUUGGUGAGGUAAGAGCUCACCAAGGCAGCGAUCAGUAGCUGGUCUGAGAGGACGAUCAGCCACACUGGGACUGAGACACGGCCCAGACUCCUACGGGAGGCAGCAGUGGGGAAUUUUCCGCAAUGGGCGAAAGCCUGACGGAGCAAUACCGCGUGAGGGAGGAAGGCUCUUGGGUUGUAAACCUCUUUUCUCAGGGAAGAAGCUCUGACGGUACCUGAGGAAUCAGCCUCGGCUAACUCCGUGCCAGCAGCCGCGGUAAUACGGAGGAGGCAAGCGUUAUCCGGAAUUAUUGGGCGUAAAGCGUCCGCAGGUGGCGAUUCAAGUCUGCUGUCAAAGCACGGGGCUUAACUCCGUAAAGGCAGUGGAAACUGAAUAGCUAGAGUGCCGUAGGGGUAGAGGGAAUUCCCGGUGUAGCGGUGAAAUGCGUAGAGAUCGGGAAGAACAUCGGUGGCGAAAGCGCUCUACUGGACGGCAACUGACACUCAGGGACGAAAGCUAGGGGAGCGAAUGGGAUUAGAUACCCC